GACGAACGCUGGCGGCGUGCCUAAUACAUGCAAGUAGAACGCUGAAGGAGGAGCUUGCUCUUCUGGAUGAGUUGCGAACGGGUGAGUAACGCGUAGGUAACCUGCCUGGUAGCGGGGGAUAACUAUUGGAAACGAUAGCUAAUACCGCAUAACAGUAGAUGUUGCAUGACAUUUACUUAAAAGGUGCAAUUGCAUCACUACCAGAUGGACCUGCGUUGUAUUAGCUAGUUGGUGGGGUAACGGCUCACCAAGGCGACGAUACAUAGCCGACCUGAGAGGGGGAUCGGCCACACUGGGACUGAGACACGGCCCAGACUCCUACGGGAGGCAGCAGUAGGGAAUCUUCGGCAAUGGACGGAAGUCUGACCGAGCAACGCCGCGUGAGUGAAGAAGGUUUUCGGAUCGUAAAGCUCUGUUGUAAGAGAAGAACGAGCGUGAGAGUGGAAAGUUCACACUGUGACGGUAUCUUACCAGAAAGGGACGGCUAACUACGUG
rnacentral:rRNA from 1 species